UACAGAGGUGGCAAGCGUUGUUCGGAAUUACUGGGCGUAGAGGGCGCGUAGGCGGCCUUGUCAGUCAGACGUGAAAUCCCCAGGCUUAACCUGGGAACUGCGUCUGAUACUACAAGGCUGGAGUGCGGGAGAGGGAUGUGGAAUUCCAGGUGUAGCGGUGAAAUGCGUAGAUAUCUGGAGGAACACCGGUGGCGAAGGCGGCAUCCUGGACCGACACUGACGCUGAGGCGCGAAAGCUAGGGGAGCAAACGGG
rnacentral:rRNA from 1 species